rnacentral:rRNA from 1 species
GUYUUUUUGGAUUUUAUUUAAAGUYUGACCUGCCCACUGGUUAAAUAUUAAAGGGCUGCAGUAUUUUGACUGUACAAAGGUAGCGUAAUCAUUAGUUUUUUAAUUGGAAACUCGUAUGAAUGGUCGAAUGAAGAAUUAACUGUUUUAAUUAUAAUUAUGAAUUUUACUUUCUUAUUAAAAGGUAAGGAUAAAUUUAAAAGACGAGAAGACCCUAUAGAGUUUUAUAUUUAUUAAAAAUUUUUGGGGUUAGUUUUUUUUUCUUUAAGUUUUAAAAUCAAUAUUUUAUUGGGGUGAUAAUAAAAUUUAGUUAACUUUUAUUUUUUUUUGUACAUUAAUAAAUGGCUAAUUGAUCCAUUCUUAAUGAUUAAAAAAUUAAAUUACCUUAGGGAUAACAGCGUAAUUUUUCUUUUAAGUUCUUAUUAAUAGAAGAUUUUGCGACCUCGAUGUUGGAUUAAGAUUAAAUUUAGGUGCAGAAGUUAAAAUUAAGUCUGUUCGACUUUUAAAUUCUU